rnacentral:rRNA from 1 species
UACGUAGGGGGCUAGCGUUGUCCGGAUUUAUUGGGCGUAAAGAGCUCGUAGGCGGUUCAGUAAGUCGGGUGUGAAAACUCAGGGCUCAACCCUGAGCGGCCACCCGAUACUGCUGUGACUUGAGUCCGGUAGGGGAGUGGGGAAGUUCCUGGUGUAGCGGUGAAAGUGACGCAGAUAUCAGGAGGAACACCGGUGGCGAAGGCGGGUCUCUGGGCCGAUACUGACGCUGAGGAGCGAAAGCAUGGGUAGCGAACAGG